AUGCUCGCUUCGGCAGCACAUAUACUAACAUUGAACGAUACAGAGAAGAUUAGCAUGGCCCCUGCGCAAGCAUGACAUGUAAAUUCUAGAAGUGUUCCAUAUUUUU
ensembl:snRNA Gm25681 predicted gene, 25681